CGCGUAUGGAACUUACCCCAAACAGGAGGAUAGCCUUUAGAAAUGAAGAAUAAUACUCCAUAGUAUUCCGAGAAGGCAUCUUCUUGGUCUUAAAGCUACGGCGGUUUGGGAUAGCCAUGCGUUCUAUUAGUUAGUUGGUGAGGUAACGGCUCACCAAGACCGCGAUAGAUAGGGGGCCUGAGAGGGUUAUCCCCCACACUGGUACUGAGACACGGACCAGACUCCUACGGGAGGCAGCAGUGAGGAAUAUUCCACAAUGGACGGAAGUCUGAUGGAGCCAUGCCGCGUGCAGGAUGACUG
rnacentral:rRNA from 1 species